CGCUGUCACUCACUUUUUCUUUUCUUCUAGUGUAUAGAUGUAACAAACUGGCUCAUUUUUGACGAACUGGAUAGCUAAUCCACAAAUUUCGAAAUUAAGUUCAGCCAAACUUUAUAAUCGAAUUAGAUUAUAUUACCGUCGCAUGGCGCGGAUCUUAAAUUUGUAUUCUUUAACCCACAAACUUUAUAAUCUAAUUACUCAUAAAGUACAUCCAGACCAGUAUGUUUGCUAUUUUAGUCUACCUCACCUGAACAAUGCUAGAUAUACUUGUGAUAAUUGUUACUCCCCUUUUCAGAAUAAUUAGAUUAUAAAGUUUUUGCACACAAUUAAAGAAUACAAAUUUUUAUUUAGUCUAUUUCGUUGUCUAAAAAUAAUAAUAACUAGCUAAUUUAAUCAAUAAAAAUCAUAUUGCAUAAUACAAAUGGUCUUAAACAUCAAACUGCAUUUACUUUUUUACAUUGAAACUAUACAUCAUCUAAACUGAAACAAAUAAUUGCUAAAACGCCAACUUAAAGUGACAGAAUAAGUACAUGUUUCUUGUUUGUACAUCGUUUAGAUAGAUAAAUGUAGCUUUGAACAUUAACAAUAUGGGGUGGUGGUGCAUUUGGCUAGCACGUAGGUCUCAUAGCUACUGAGUGAUCCUGAGGUCGAGAGUUCGAGCCUCUCUAACCCCAUAAUUUAUUCAUUUAAUGUUUUACUAGGGCUUAAUGGGCCUUCUGUUAUCUAUAAAACCCAAAACCCAUCUCUUUUUAUCAUGGAGCCGCCACUCGUGUUUGAUUAAAUUGCCAUGUCCAUUCUUGUCACAAAAACGCGUGACAUUCGUUCCGUUAACAAUGUAUAGAUUAUUCAAUAAGUUGUAGAUUUGGCUGCCUGUGAAUAAUGAUUCUAUAUAUAUAUAUACUUUUAGUAAAAUGUUAAAUUUAUACCAUCUAAUAACAUAAAGAAGGGUUUCAUCACUCCUGGUGAAGCCACGUAGGCGGACACAUCAUAAAAUCGGCUCCUGUAAGCUUGACACGUGUCACAGACCAUGAAACUCAUCGUUUCAUUAAGUCAAGUCUGCAAUACAUAUGGGUUUCGUUGUGUUUUGGGCUUAUAUUGUCCUCCAAAAACUCAAUCUAACUGCGAGAAACACUAAGACGCUUAAACAACUUCGUUUUGGGAAUAUAAGAUUAGUCUCUCUCUUCGUCUUCAACAAUUAUUUUCCCUUUUUAGGUUCAUGUUAUUCUUCCAAUUCUGUUCAUAAUCCGUCCAUGGAGUUUCUAUAAAGUGAAUGGGAGAUGACUUUUAACAGCGAAUCUUUUGAGUGAAUGUUUGUUCGUGUCGUUUGGACUUUCGUUUGUGUCGUUUGGACUGAAUAUCUUUAAGCCAUGUAAGCGAAAUUGAUGUUGGUGUCGUUUGGAGUGACUUGAUGUUCCUCUCAUCAAUGAACAUCUUAACUCCUUUAUCCCACUAAUGAUUCCUCAUUGAAUUCAAUGCAUCUCCCUUCACUUUCAGUCGGUGAAUCUCCGUGUAUAAAAAUGUGAUCUUCAUUCCAUGAACAUCAUCCUUCCAUUCCUUGCUUAAUUAAGCAAGACCUUUGCAUAGUACCUGAUAUUGAUAAACGUUACCGACAAAGGUGAGCUCUAUCUUCUUUCUAUGUGAAUCUCUGGUUCUUAUUUGGUUCCACUUACUCUGCUCGAUCUUACUAGAUGUGUAGAUAUGAUUGCUAAUCCUGAAGUGGCUAAUGUGUCCAGCAAAAGAAAAAAAGUAGGUGAUCAUAUUCAAAUUUUCAUUUGAGCAUCCAGUUAAUUUUGUGCAUUAUCCUAGGUUUAGUAACCUAAAUAUUUCCAGCCGAGCCAUGAUGCAUAACUUAUGUGCUAUAAUCAGCUCCUUAACGUUUACCAAAAGAACAGUAAUAUAAAAUAAUUUGAAGAAACACUUGAUGUCAGAGAACAGAAACACUUGAAGUUCUUGGUGUUUUUUUCAAUUUUGAUUUCCUAGCUUUCAUGUGAUCUUUGUUUUUUUUUUUUUUUUUUGCAGGAAGAGCACGACUACUGCAAUUCAUGUGAGGAUCACAUGGUGUUUUUCACGCAUAUAUAAAGAAACGUUGGGAGUGUUACGAAUCCAGAUUUGAUUGACUAAGUGAGGCUCAUGCGAUCUUCUUGAAGGAUAUGGACUAGUCUGUGAUUGAUACGGUGACAUAUUGAACAUGUGAAUGAAUUAGAACAAUAUCUAAGUCUGAGAGUGGAGGUGGCAAAUGUGGCGAUGGAGUCGUUGCAAAAAGUACGGGAGGGAAGUAAGAAAGCAACAAUGCAGCUGGUGGACAUAGAGUACAAUAUUGUUGAUUUCUUCUUGAAGCUUCUCCAGCUCUAAGAAUACCGACUUUUUUUCUUGGUUGUGGUUGGUACCUGGAGGUACCGACACCAAAGAGAUCUUUAGGUUGUGAUUUUACGAGGUAAUCUACGCUGGAAGACAUCAUACCGUGUCGAUUUAUUUAAAACAUCACAAAGUUUUAUCUGCUGACUCUUUGUUUGUGUUUGUUUUUGGCCUUCACCUUAUAUAGUUAGUUAUAUGAAUGAGCUCUUCACAUGUCGACUAUAUUUGUUUAGUUAUGUAGAUUUCUUUACUCUUUUAGUGUUAUUAAAUCCUUUGAUUAUUUAUUUACCAAAAACCUCUUUAUUCGAACUGAAAUGAACGAAAAGGUCAUCUACUCAAUCCCUCAUGGAAGCUAUUUAUAAAGCAUCAAACCAUUUAAUUAGAAAAAAAACAGCGACAACUCUAAUGGCUCCGGGAAGUGUCCGAUAUAAACAAAGAUUUCAUUAUACUAAGAAGGUAUAAAAUAACGAAGAAACCUUUUAAAAAUAAAAUUGAGGAGUGCUUUGAGGAACUCAAGUAACAAAAACAUAGUUAAUUUUUCAAAAUGAUGAAAGCUUUGAGAGCUAUUGCCUUCACUAAAUCAUUAUGAAGUCAUUUCUCUAUCCAGUAAGAUCGUGUCUUGAGAUGGGCGCAGAUUUGACAUUUAACUUUUCUGUUUGAAACAAAAAAAUCCAUUCACAAUAUGACUCCUACAAAAAGAAUAAAAUCUUAUCGAAGAGAAAAUAUCUAAAUGCUUUUGAAUUAAGAAAAACUAAUCCAAUUAUAUAUAAAAAUUAUGUCUCAUCUCAUUCAUGAGUAAUACACUUAGGUUUAGUAUAAAAAUUAACUAAAAUAUAUUCCAUAUUAUUUAAAUUUAUUUAUGACUAAUAGGUCCACAAUAUUUCAAAAUAUUUUAAAGUGUUUGACCUUCAGACUUCAGUAGAUCUAUUAAAAAUUGUACGUAUAUCAAAAUAAAAUAUUGAUGGUUAAAUGUGUCUAUAAAUAGGCUGUAAAUAUCAAGCUAAGCUUAACCAUUUAAACAGAAAAUCAAACAUUUAAUAUCCUACAGCCAAACAAAAUAUUGAUCAAAUUAAAUCAAAAUAUAAAUUUUGUUAAUAUGUUUUAAUCACUCCAAAUUAGUUUAGAAGCAAAUCUUUGUAAAAAUAUCCAACACACAUAUAAAUUAAUAAAUACUAAACAUUAAAUCUGUGUAGUAAAAUGUCUAUUAGGAUAUCUUAUAAACCUUUAAGCCUUUAUCACCACUAAGAGCAAUAUAUAUAGAAACUCUAAGUCAAACUAAAAAAAAAAUUAAUGUAAAAAUAUUAGUAAAAAGUUAUAGAUAAGGAUUUUAAGAUAAUAAAUAAAUAUGAUCGUUUAAUUUUAGAAUGGUUUAUGUUAAUUUGUACCGAGUUAAGCUGAGAAAUCCUACAGUCUUAAGAUAUUUAGCUCAAAAAUCAUAUAUUACUGUUUCGUUUAUAUAGAUUGGUUUAGGUGUGUGUUUAUGGUUAAGUGGACUUUGGUCCUGAUUAAUUUUUUAAAAAAUAAAUUAAGAAUAAUAUAAGAAUUAUUUAGUAAAAUAUGUUAAUAGCUUCAGAUUAACAAUAAACGAAAAAAAACUCUAGAAAAUAAAACAUGUAGAUUACUCAAAAACAAUGUGAUUUUUAUAUGUAGUCAAAGAAAUUUUUGAAUAAAAACAUUGUUAGAGACACACUCAUAAUCAUGGAUAGAAUAUAUAUAUACCAUAAUCAAGCAUAAAACUUUAACACACAAUUGAGAAAAUAUAUUAAAUUACUACAUGUAUAAUCUCAUGCAAAUGCAAAAGAAGAAUAUAUAACUGAAAUGAAUACUAAAAGAGACAAUAGUACAAUGUCAUAAAAUAUAGUUGAUAACAAAUAAAAAUUUAAACACAUAGAAUUAUAAACAGAUGUCAAAUGUUAACAAAAUAAAUAUAAUCUUCAAAAAUAAUUAAUUCAUAAUAUGAUCUUAGAAAACAAAUAUUUAUUAUAUUCAAUUAAAAACAUUUUUUAAAAUAUUUUAUAAAAUUAAUAUAUGUUUUAAUUAACAUAAAAUGAUUUUGUUGUAAACUCACUACGGGCGGACCAACAUCUAGUUUUCUAUAUUUUCGGAUGCAAUUGUAUUCUUAAGCAAGAAGCGGCAUUAAAAUACAAGCCUAAGAUUUAUUUAUACGGAAAUAAACGUUGACGUGAAAAGCGGGAUUCCAUUUAUCAAAAAUUUUAAAGUACUUUUUAAAGUACUUGACUGACAUAUUUUUUAAUUCGUCGAAAACCUCUAUGUCCAUAUAUGUAGAACAUGUGUAAAGAAGUUAGUGAAAAGUAGGGGUGUUAAUUCGGGCUGGCCCGGCCCGGUCCGACCCAAACCCGCUAAGUCCGUAAAUAUUUGAGCCUGGCCCGGCCCGAAAAUAAUUUGGGCCUAGAAUUCAAAGCCCGGCCCGGUCCUUAUAGGGCUAUAGGGCUUUUCGGGCUUUUGAGGGCUUUUCGAAAAAUAAUUUGUCAUUGUCACUUCCAUCGUUUUAAUACAUGUGAAUUUUCAUUAAAAAAAGAGUUUCAUUUUAAAAAAAUAAAAAAUAUAUAAAGUGAGUUUAAA